GUGAAUACGUUCCCGGGCCUUGUACACACCGCCCGUCACACCAUGGGAGUGGGUUGCAAAAGAAGUAGGUAGCUUAACCUUCGGGAGGGCGCUUACCACUUUGUGAUUCAUGACUGGGGUGAAGUCGUAACAAGGUAACCGUAGGGGAACCUGCGGUUGGAUCACC
rnacentral:rRNA from 1 species